rnacentral:rRNA from 1 species
GGCGAACGGGUGAGUAACACGUAGGUAAUCUGCCUUUCUGACGGGAACAACUCCGCGAAAGCGGGGCUAAUGCCCGAUAAGACCACGCCCAGGGAUGGGUGCGGCCAAAGGCGGGGUGGCAACAUCUCGCGCUGAGAGAUGAGCCUGCGUCCUAUCAGCUAGUUGGUGAGGCAAAAGCUCACCAAGGCGAAGACGGGUAGCCGGCCUGAGAGGGUGAACGGCCACACUGGGACUGAGACACGGCCCAGACUCCUACGGGAGGCAGCAGUGAGGAAUUUUCCGCAAUGGGCGCAAGCCUGACGGAGCGACGCCGCGUGAGGGAUGACGGCCUUCGGGUUGUAAACCUCUUUUAUGAGAGAAAAAGGUAUGCGUGCUCAUACCACGUAUAUUUGAUGGUAUCUCGUGAAUAAGCCCCGGCUAACUACGUGCCAGCAGCCGCGGUAAUACGUAGGGGGCGAGCGUUGUCCGGAUUUACUGGGCGUAAAGCGCGUGUAGGCGGUUGAUCAAGUCGGGUGUGAAAUGCUGCAGCUUAACUGCGGCACUGCGCUC